rnacentral:rRNA from 1 species
GUGAGGAAUAUUGGUCAAUGGGCGGAAGCCUGAACCAGCCAUCCCGCGUGGAGGAAGACGGCCCUAUGGGUUGUAAACUUCUUUUCAAGGGGAAGAAAGUUCGCGACGUGUCGCGAUUUGCCGGUACCUUUGGAAUAAGCAUCGGCUAACUCCGUGCCAGCAGCCGCGGUAAUACGGAGGAUGCGAGCGUUAUCCGGAUUUAUUGGGUUUAAAGGGUGCGUAGGCCGAUCGAUAAGUCAGCGGUGAAAUACCAUGGCCCAACCAUGGAACUGCCGUUGAUACGGUCGGUCUUGAAUAUGGUCAAGGUAGGCGGAAUGUGUAAUGUAGCGGUGAAAUGCUUAGAUAUUACACAGAACACCGAUUGCGAAGGCAGCUUACUGGUCCAUUAUUGACGCUGAGGCACGAAAGCGUGGGGAUCGAACAGGAUUAGAAACCCGGGUAGUCC